rnacentral:rRNA from 1 species
GAUGAACGCUGGCGGCGUGCCUAAUACAUGCAAGUCGAGCGAACAGAUGAGGAUCUUGCUCCUCUGACGUUAGCGGCGGACGGGUGAGUAACACGUGGAUAACCUACCUAUAAGACUGGGAUAACUUCGGGAAACCGGAGCUAAUACCGGAUAAUAUAUUGAACCGCAUGGUUCAAUAGUGAAAGACGGUUUUGCUGUCACUUAUAGAUGGAUCCGCGCCGCAUUAGCUAGUUGGUAAGGUAACGGCUUACCAAGGCAACGAUGCGUAGCCGACCUGAGAGGGUGAUCGGCAACACUGGAACUGAGACACGGUCCAGACUCCUACGGGAGGCAGAAGUAGGGAAUCUUCCGCAAUGGGCGAAAGACUGACGGAGCAACGCCGCGUGAGUGAUGAAGGUCUUCGGAGCGUAAAACUCUGUUAUUAGGGAAGAACAAAUGUGUAAGUAACUAGGCAAGUCUUGACGGUACCUAAUCAGAAAGCCACGGCUAACGACGUG